UACGUAGGUGGCAAGCGUUGUCCGGAUUUACUGGGCGUAAAGGGCGUGCAGGCGGUUUGUUAAGUGCAGGGUGAAAGCUCCCGGCUCAACUGGGAGAGGUCCUUGCAUACUGGCAAACUCGAGGGAGGCAGAGGAAAGUGGAAUUCCCGGUGUAGUGGUGAUAUGCGUAGAUAUCGGGAGGAACAUCCGUGGCGAAGGCGACUACCUGGACCAGCACUGACACUGAGGCACGAAAGCGUGGGGAGCAAACAGG
rnacentral:rRNA from 1 species